UCUUUACACAGAAGUGUGUCUGCGUGCUGCGCCAGGUCUCUGGCUCUCUGACGGGCAAACGCACGCUUGUACUGCUCCACAGCGCCCGGCUUCACCGGCAUAGGGGUAUUUACCUGGAAACACCAGCAGAGAUGCUGCUCUUGAAUUUGCAAGAACAACAAAUGCAAGAAUGAAGGCCAAUCACAGUUCGAUAUGCAAAUAUCACAAAUGAUGUCAUCGCUGUCUGUUGGCGAAAAUUCUAACCGUCUGAAGAUGACAACGAUAUACGAGUGCAAUAAUGCCCGUUCCCGUUUUCAGCGGCGCUGGUUCCGGUAAUUUUUCCCAUGGGGGAAAACUCUUCGUUAAAGAGUUAGAUGCCACAAACCAAACCAAUCAGCUACAAGAUGAAUCACAACACUACAAACUUUGAUUUGAAGCAAAAAAGCUUUUGAAAAUAGGACAAAAAGACAAAAGUACAAGACUGUGAACUUAACGGCUUUAGUGAGGGAAAGAACUACAAUCCCAUGAAGCAUUAAAGAGCUAUUUUUAAGCGUGUUGCUUUUCUUGACUCUGAUUGGUGGAAUUUUUGCAUAGCAUCAUGGGUAAUGUAGUUUUUACCGCUGUUAAACACAAUUAUUUUAAACAAAAGCUGAAAUAAUGUGAGCUGACAUCUUCAAAAGAUGCAAAUAUUAUCGAUUAACAACCUCGGAGCUCACAGUAGGGCUGUCUUUAAAAGUUUACAAGUUAUCAUUCAAAAUCAACUUCCCUAUGGAGAAAAUGAAUGGAGUUUUUACUUCAUCAACACAUAUCUAAAGUACUAAAACUUCUGAACUAUUUAAAACAGAAUCAGCUUUAACUAGGAACAAUGGGAGUGACAGUAGUCCAUCUGUAUGUCCAGCAUGUGUGCGUGUGUGUGCUGAUACAAACGGAUAACAGCUGUUGUGCUGUGACCGUCAGUCAUUAUUACCCAUGAGCAUCAGAGAGCCAACAGGUGGCCGUACAGGUGGACUAGAGUUACAGUGUAACACACAUACAAAGGGUGAGGAGUUCAGUGUCUUUAUGUUUAAACUCUCUCACGUCAUCAUCCACUUCUCUGUGUGUAGAUUUGUCUUGUGUUAUGUAUCCAGUGUUGUCGCUCUACAUCAAAAGCUCAAUGUCAUUGUAAAACUGAAGGUUGUUUAACAAUAGACCUGUAAUGUAUUUAAAUAGUCACGGUCAGUCAGAACAAAGUCAACACAAAACCAUCAAUAAAAACUCUGUGGUUUGCCUUUAUAUCUGAGACACAAGAGAGCACUGAAUGACUGUGUUUGAGGAGUAAACACUGGAUGGGUUGCUGAGAUCCAUACAGAUGCAGAAUUUCAACAUCCAGCAAAGGCAAAAGGGUAGACCAUGACUAGUUCAUUAAUCCAACAAUAAAAUAAAGGAAUAGUUCCAUUAAAAAGUAAUAUAUUGUCAUAAUUUACUGAUGCAUGUUAUGCCUUCAUAAUCAGAUCUCAAAUAAAGUCCAACUUUAAGAGAUCCCUUUACUUUUACACUGAUGACUGAAAUGCAUUUAAGGCAAAAUAACAGGUGAAUAGUGUAAAAAACGCAAUCAGCUGGGACAGUAUGGUGAUAUCUAUUAAUCACAUUACAAUAUAGCAAUUGUUUUGUAUCAUAAGUUUUCUGACAAAUAAUGCAUUAUCUAAUUAAUAUGCACUAAUUUGCAUACAAUUCCAGAACAGAAAUCUGAACACUGCAUAAAGCCAGAUUCAACAUUAGUUUAAUUUUGUUGACAGUUUUUGGAUUUCUCUUUUUAUCACUCCAUAAAUCAGAAAAUACUGUUGUCAGACAGAAAUGAAAAGACAUUUACCAUGUUUUUAGGAGUAAUGAAUCAGGCGAAUGAUAUAUGAACAAACCAUUCAGAAUAUAGACAGUAAAGUUUGGUGUGUGUAAAGCUCAAACUCUCCUCCUUUAAAGAUACGGAUUGAAAUUGAAAUUUACAUAUGCAAAUAGAUAAAGUAGAUAAAAAAAUAAAAAAUAAAAAAAAAAACACUUUGUAUUUUGGAUGUUUUCAUUCCACUAGUCUGAAAGAAGACUGUUAUAGAAGUGAAAUAGCCCAAAAUCUCAAAAUUGACCAGUGCAUGAAAAAAAACAAUGGUUUUGCCUGAAGUGUCUCGCCUUAAGGACCUGAUAUACUUCAUUUCGAACAAAAUCAGGCCAAAACGAAGUUUGUUUUGAGUUUGUUUCGGGAGUUUGAAACAGCUUGCCAAGCGAACUUUCCGGAAAAGUUUGCUCUGGCUGGUAAACGCCAUCGAACUACCAUUGGUCCGUGGUGAUGAUGCAAUAGGUAGGCGUGACUCUGAGGCUCCACCUUCUUUGAUGUGGAAAUCUUCUCCAGUUCAUUUGCCUUAGUGCCCGCCCCCAUUUUUUAGCGGAGCUGGUUUCGGAAGUACUUUUUCCAAUCAUUUUUCUCAUAGAGAUUUAGAAAAAAGUCUUCGUUAAAGGAGUUAAGAUGCCAUGAACCAAGCCAAUCGGCUACAAGGUGAAUCAUAACACUACAAAUUUGAUUUGAAGCAAAAAAAAAAAAAAAAAAUUGAAAAUCUGACAAAAAGACAAAAGUACAAGACUGUGAACUUAACGGUUUUAAUGAGGGAAAGAACUACAAUCCCAUGAAGCAUUGCGAACAGCAUUAUUAAAAACGAUGGAGAAACGAUGUAAUAUUCUGUACAGCAUCAUGGGUAAUGUAGUUUUUCACCAGGAAUUCUAUUGUUAAACAUGAUUAUUUUAAACAUAAGCUGAAAUAAUGCGGAUAGAUAAUAGGUAGGUGUGGCUCUGAGGCUCCACCUUCUUUGACAUGGAAAUCUUCUCCGGUUCAUUUCUCCUGUUCAGUCCCUCGAGGUCAGAUGUUCGUGAGUAAAAACAUGAACACACUGGAGAGCCGCUUUAUGGUAGAAAAUGUAGUUGUAAUUCUAAUUGAAAGCAACACUGACACUGUUUUUCAUGUUUAAUACUGUAAAGCUGCUGCUUUUAAACAAUCUAUUGUAUAAAAGUGGUAUAUAAAUAAACGUGACGUGACUUUACCGGAGUGCCGAAUCGCAAACAUAUCCACGUCACUAUGAUCAGAUGCUUUCCAAACUGCUGUUUUCUCACCACUGUCAUUUUUGUUGUGUGUUUAUUGUGUUAUUGAGAGGAAAGCGCAGCACAUAUUUACAUAUGCAGCGUGGACGGUCUUGAAAUGUUUGUUAACAGUAUAUCGCUGCAAAGGUAUUUCAACUUCUUUUUACCGCAAAAUGAAGAACAAAAAAGAAGUUUGUCGUAAGUAUAUCGGGACCUUUAAAGAGCUAAAAAAAAUACCUUCCACACCCUGAAGAUGCAUAAAUGAGUACGCACCACUUUCAGGUUGGCUUCCUGCAGUUUUCGCGCUCUCUCCUCCAGACGCUUGGCGAUGACGGCGAGUUCGGUGUUCUUCUUCCUCAACCUCUUCACCUUCUCCUCCGUUUCUGGAGAACUGCUCUUUCUCUGAGGAUUCACCGAUAUUGGACGAGAGAGAGAGAAUUUGAGAGACAGAAAAUGAGAUUAAAGAUUGUUCAAAGUGGUGAAAUAUAAAGCAAAGCUCAUUUUGUAUUAAAAAAAAUGUAUAUUAAACACUCAUGUUGCACCACAGGAAUAUUCAUGUAAACCGCUAACAAACCAAAAUGUGAUUAAAUAUGAUGAAUAUCUUAAAGGGCUCA